rnacentral:misc_RNA from 1 species
AGCAGCCGCGGUAAUUCCAGCUCCAAUAGCGUAUAUUAAAGUUGCUGCAGUUAAAAAGCUCGUAGUUGAAUUUCGGGACCAUCAUGUUGGUCGUGCCUCGGUACGUACUGGCAUUGUUGGUUUCUCCCUUCUGACGAACCAUGAUGUCAUUUAUUUGGUGUCGUGGGAAAUCAGGACUGUUACUUUGAAAAAAUUAGAGUGUUUAAAGCAGGCUCACGCUUGAAUACAUUAGCAUGGAAUAAUGAAAUAGGACGUUUGAUUCUAUUUUGUUGGUUUCUAGGAUCGACGUAAUGAUUAAUAGGGAUAGUUGGGGGCAUUAGUAUUCAAUUGUCAGAGGUGAAAUUCUUGGAUUUAUUGAAGGCUAACUACUGCGAAAGCAUUUGCCAAGGAUGUUUUCAUUAAUCAAGAACGAAAGUUAGGGGAUCGAAGACGAUCAGAUACCGUCGUAGUCUUAACCAUAAACUAUGCCGACUAGGGAUCGGAUGAUGUUAAUUUUUUAAUGACUCAUUCGGCGCCUUAC